GACGAACGCUGGCGGCGUGCUUAACACAUGCAAGUCGAACGGAAAGGCCCUGCUUUUGUGGGGUGCUCGAGUGGCGAACGGGUGAGUAACACAUGAGUAACCUGCCCUUGACUUUGGGAUAACUUCAGGAAACUGGGGCUAAUACCGGAUAGGAGCUCCUGCUGCAUGGUGGGGGUUGGAAAGUUUCGGCGGUUGGGGAUGGACUCGCGGCUUAUCAGCUUGUUGGUGGGGUAGUGGCUUACCAAGGCUUUGACGGGUAGCCGGCCUGAGAGGGUGACCGGCCACAUUGGGACUGAGAUACGGCCCAGACUCCUACGGGAGGCAGCAGUGGGGAAUAUUGCACAAUGGGCGGAAGCGUGAUGCAGCAACGCCGCGUGCGGGAUGACGGCCUUCGGGUUGUAAACCGCUUUCGCCUGUGACGAAGCGUGAGUGACGGUAAUGGGUAAAGAAGCACCGGCUAACUACGUG
rnacentral:rRNA from 1 species